rnacentral:lncRNA from 1 species
CUGCACUCCAAUCGCUAUACCAAACAUACCGUCACAGUUCAAGAGAGCUUAUAUCUUAGUGGACUAAUUAGAGCAAGUCAGAAGAAGUCAGCCAGCACACACACCACCCCUGGUACCUAAUGCAGAAGAGACCGCCUUUACAUGAGCAAAUGGUCCUCUCUUCACUUCUGUCUCCUUUCGUGGUUACCUCAGAAAGCCAAGCAUGUAAUCAGGAGGAGAGGAGGGAAAGCAGCUGAGCAGGGUGUAGGAAUAGACACGCAGCUUGCACCAUCAGCAAAAUGUCAAGCACUGCGAGGUAAUUUGCUUUGGGGGAAGCCAGCUGCCAUGUUGUAAGCAGCCAUAUGAAGAGAUCCAUAUGGUGAGAACUGAGACCUCCAGCUACAGCCACAUGAGGGAGCCUGGAAGUGGAUUCCCCUGCCCUGUCAUAUCUUCAGAUGACUGCAGCCCUGCCCAACACCUUGAGUGCAACCUCAUGAGAGACCUUGAGACAGAACCACCCAAUUAAGUUACUCCCAGGUUCCUGACUCUCAGAAACUGUAUAAGAUUAUAGAUAUUUGUUGUUUUAAGCUGUUAAAGUUUUCAAUUAAUUUGUUAUGUGUCCUAAUACAAAGCAAAAGGUACUAUAGGUUUUUGUUUUGUUUUGCUUUUCUUCUAAUUUUUAAGUGACUUGAGGAUAGGAGCCACAUCUUAUUCAUCUACAGGUUUAGCAGAGUGCCUAAGGACAUAACAGAUCCAAUAACCAUUUUCUGAAUGAAUGAUCCUCUCCUUCCUGUUUUUAUCAUUAAAGUAAAUUCAAUGAAAAUUACACUUCCAGACUUCUGGCUUAACUAAGGAUUUUUUUUUUUUUUUUUUAAUACUGUGGUUUAACCCAGAGUAUAUAGAAGAGAAAAAAAUUCUGAAAUGAGAUCACUUUUCAGAAGGUCCAAUUUUUUAAAUGCUCCUACCAUUAAGAGUUCAAUAUAAAUUUACAAUGAGCCUCACUGAGCAAUUUAGGAAGCCUUGGCCUUCUGCCUUAUAAGCAUUCAUGAUUACAAACUAAAACUUGGCCUCACCACCUAAGACAUGACAGCAUGAUGGGAAAGACUAAAGGCUGACGUAAGUGUAAAAGAAAGAAACUCCCGUAGGUCUUGGGUUUAGGGAGCAGUAUUUACACUCAUUAUGAGUUGGGGAAAAAGUUCCUAAAGGUAAGUAUCACUUGGUAACUUAAACCGCUUGGG